UCUGGUUGAUCCUGCCAGUAAUUAUAUGCUUGUUUUGAAGAUUAAGCCAUGCAAGUGUAAGUAUAAGUAACUCGUACUUUACAAAACUGCGAACGGCUCAUUAAAUCAGUUAUAAUUUAUUUGAUUAUCACCUUUCCUACUUGGAUAACCGAAGGAAAUCAUCGGCUAAUACAUGCGAAAAGGCGCGACUUUACGGAAGCGCUGUAUUUAUUAGAUUCAAAAAUCAAUGCGGUCUUCGGACCGGUUUCAUUGGUGAUUCAUAAUAACUUUGCGAAUCGGGCGGCCUAGCGCCGACGAUGAUUCAAAUAAAUUUCUGCCCUAUCAACUUUCGAUUGUAGUGUAGUGGACUACAAUGGUCGUAACGGGUAACGGAGAAUUAGGGUUCGAUUCCGGAGAGGGAGCCUGAGAGACGGCUACCAUUUCUAAGGGAAGCAGCAGGCGCGCAAAUUACUCAAUCUCAAUUCGAGGAAGUAGUGAACAAAAAUAACAAUGCGAGGCGUCAAUGACGUCUUGCAAUUGGAAUGAGUACAAUCUAAAUAACUUAACGAGUAUCGAUUGGAGGGCAAGUCUGGUGCCAGCAGCCGCGGUAACUCCAGCUCCAAUAGCGUAUAUUAAUGUUGCUGCAGUUAAAAAGCUCGUAGUUGAAUCUUGGAGGCGUUUGUAAUCUGGUCCGCCUCGAAGGCGAGUACCGAUUACGACCCUCUGUAUCUGGUAACAGCGCACUACUGUGCUUAAUUGUGCGGUAGUUUCAGGAAGAGGAGACUCGACUUGAAGGUUGGGAGUAGUGUCGGGGAAAUGGGGUUUAACGCUUCGUUUUCACGCGGUGCUUCUGGCAGUGUUUUACCUAUUUUACUUUGAAAAAAUUAGAGUGUUCAAAGCAAGGCGUUUUUGCCUAUUGAAUAUUGCAGCAUGGGAUAAUAGAAAAAGAUAGUCUGUCUUAUUUUGUUGGUUUUUUAAGAUGACAAUAAUGAUAGAAGGGGAUGGUUGGGGCGGUCUGUAUUGCAACGUCAGAGGUGAAAUUCUUAGAUUGUUGUAAGACAAACUACUGCGAAAGCUUUCCGCUAGGACAUAUUCAUCAAUCAAGAACGAAAGUUGGGGGAUCGAAGACGAUCAGAUACCGUCGUAGUCUCAACCAUAAACAAUGCCGACCAAGGAUUGGAGAGUGUUAAUUUAUAAUGACUUCCCCAGCACUUUGCGAGAAAUCACAAGUCUUUGGGUUCCGGGGGGAGUAUGGUCGCAAGGCUGAAACUUAAAGGAAUUGACGGAAGGGCACCACCAGGCGUGGAACUUGCGGCUUAAUUUGACCCAACACGGGGAAACUUACCAGGUCCAGACAGCGUUAGGAUUGACAGAUUGAGAGCUCUUUCAUGAUUCGUUGGGUGGUGGUGCAUGGCCGUUCUUAGUUGGUGGUGUGAAUUGUCUGGUUGAUUCCGUUAACGAACGAGACCUUGACUUACUAAAUAGCGG
rnacentral:rRNA from 1 species